GCGGAAACUGUCAGAGUUGAAGGAGAGACAUCCACAGCAGCUGUAGUUCUGUCGUAGUGAACUACCUCAGAGCGAACAAACGGGAAACUGCGUAAAACUUUAUUUUAGAGACUGUAAAAAAGGCUCACAGUCUGUUUUCAAUACCAAGUGUUUUUCCCGAGGACACGCGGUGAACGGCCGCAGCUGUGACGGCGUUAACUUUGAUAGCUGGAGCUGCUGUUUGUGUUUGCCACGUGCGCAGGAUGUUUACUGCCAGAAGCACAAACACGGGGUGGACUCUCGUCACAACAUUGACAUGUUUACGUCAUCUUCGAAUGAGACGUCUAAAUCCAACCAUUACUCCAACAGCAGCCGAGGACAGACUGUGUUUGCCAGUCAUUUUUCAAAGGUUCCAGUGUUGGAAUCUCCACCCGGUCGUUUAUGCAGGGUCACAGAGGAGCUUGAUAAGAUCGUCCAGAUCCCCGGCCAUAACUACAGAUUUGUUUUGGUUGCAGCUCUCUCGUCUCUCCAAAGGCUUAACUUCGUGUGCUGUUGUGAAUAAACAAUAACAUUAGCCUUGGCCCCUUAAAACAGACGGCUUAUCACCAAGCAGACGCUUCUUCUUCUUUUUGAAGUGUAUUAUCCCCCACCUCUUCACACUGUGGACACAACUCCAUUUAACAACAUCACUGUUUAAGCGAUUUCCUUUUCUUUCAUUGCUGAACAAACAAAAGAAGAAAAGCCAAAUUGAUGAAGCGAAGCAAAUCUUUUGCUUCUGCUGUAGGUUGAUUACUUUUUCUUAUCAAUCUGAGAAGCCUCCAGAGGAGAACCUCCAGCUCCUCCCCUGUCGUAACCGCCACACCCCGCACCGGGAA